rnacentral:rRNA from 1 species
UACGUAGGGGGCUAGCGUUGUCCGGAAUUAUUGGGCGUAAAGAGCGUGUAGGCGGUCCGGUAAGUCGGCUGUGAAAGUCCAGGGCUCAACCCUGGGAUGCCGGUCGAUACUGCCGGACUAGAGUUCGGAAGAGGCGAGUGGAAUUCCCGGUGUAGCGGUGAAAUGCGCAGAUAUCGGGAGGAACACCUAUGGCGAAGGCAGCUCGCUGGGACGUUACUGACGCUGAGGAGCGAAAGCGUGGGGAGCGAACAGG